AGGCCCUCUCUUGGAAAUAGCAAUCUUAAGAAAUUGCGUAUAGAAAUGAGAUUCACUCUCAAUAAUCCUAUUUCUACUUUCUACAAAAAACAAUACAUUAUAUAAAAAUCUAAAAAAGUACAUCUAUAUAUGCGGGGAAAGAAACAGGAAAAAAAGAGAUGUCUUAGAGUUUAGAAACCUUAUCUUCCAAAGCCGAGGAAAGAUCACAAUCUCAUUUCAGAGAAGUC
rnacentral:lncRNA from 1 species